GGUGAACGCUGGCGGCGUGCCUAAGACAUGCAAGUCGUGCGGUCCAUGGGGUUUUACUCCGUGGUCAGCGGCGGCCGGGUGAGUAACGCGUGGCUGACCUACCCUGAAUAGGCGGACAACCUGGGGAAACCCAGGCUAAUCCGCCAUGUGGUCCUGUCCUGUUGGGUAGGACUAAAGGGUGAAUAGCCCUCUUCCGGAUGGGACCGCGUCACAUCAGCUAGUUGGUGGGGUAAAGAACCACCAAAGCGACGUCGGGUAGGCGGUCUGGGAGGAUGGCCGGGCACAGGGGAACCGAGACACGGGCCUCACGCCGACAGGAGGCAGCAGUAAGGAACAUUGCGUAAUGGCCGGAAGUCUGACGGCGGGACGCCGCUUGGAGGAGGAAGGCGUUCGGGGUGUAAACUGCUGAACUGGAGACGAAAGCCCCGGAGAGGGGGAUGACGGUACCCAGGUAAUAGCGCCGGCCAACUCCGUG
rnacentral:rRNA from 1 species